CCCUAAAAAAAGACUUCGAAAUUGAACCCAAGUUAACAUUAUAUGCCUAUUUCGUCAGAAAUAAGCCUAAUAAUGUUAACUAGAACUCACUCGCCUUCAAAAUUCCCAAAACAGGUUGAUCCCUCUUUUCUAAAAACCCUAGAUAUGAAAUUCGUGCAGGUCUGGAGCGAUUCGAGAGCUUUUGGCUUGUGAGUCAAAGUGAGGGAGUCAUGGGGAUUAUGGGGUGUGAAUUUGAACCAAUUUGGACGAGGUUGUGACUUGGCUCGAAUCUUUAAACAAAUAUUCAAAGAGCCCGGGCUUGAUUCGAGAGAAACUGUUAACAAAAAUGGAAAGAGGAGAUCGAGGAGAAUAGGGGGUGUAAAUCUGGCGGUGAUUGCAAGUGGCGCCGCCACCCAAGGGCAGUGGGGUUUGGCGGCGGCGGAAUUAAGGUUUGAGAAGGUGGGGGUGUGGGAAAGAGACGAUGGAGGAGGUGGGCGUCAUUCAGACACUCUUAUAGUAACGGAACCACAGUUCCUGGCCGUUGGAUGAUGAAUCCUCGACGGCCAGAAUUGACUUGCUCGAAACGACGUCGUUUCUUUAGGGGAAGGCAUGCUAGGUAAUGGGGAUAGGGGUGUGG
rnacentral:lncRNA from 1 species